rnacentral:rRNA from 1 species
AGAGUUUGAUCCUGGCUCAGGAUGAACGCUAGCUACAGGCUUAACACAUGCAAGUCGAGGGGCAGCAUGUUGGUUGCUUGCAACCAAUGAUGGCGACCGGCGCACGGGUGAGUAACGCGUAUCCAACCUACCCAAUACUCAGGCAUAACCCGUUGAAAGACGGACUAAUUCCUGAUGGUAUGUAUUUUUCUCAUGAGUUAUACAUUAAAGAAUUUCGGUAUUGGAUGGGGAUGCGUCUGAUUAGUUUGUUGGUGAGGUAACGGCUCACCAAGACUUCGAUCAGUAGGGGUUCUGAGAGGAAGGUCCCCCACAUUGGAACUGAGACACGGUCCAAACUCCUACGGGAGGCAGCAGUGAGGAAUAUUGGUCAAUGGACGGAAGUCUGAACCAGCCAAGUAGCGUGCAGGAUGACGGCCCUAUGGGUUGUAAACUGCUUUUAUGUGAGAAUAAAGUUAGGUAUGUAUACUUAUUUGCAUGUAUCACAUGAAUAAGGACCGGCUAAUUCCGUGCCAGCAGCCGCGGUAAUACGGAAGGUCCAGGCGUUAUCCGGAUUUAUUGGGUUUAAAGGGUGCGUAGGCCGUUUGAUAAGCGUGCUGUGAAAUAUAGUGGCUCAACCUCUAUCGUGCAGCGCGAACUGUUGAACUUGAGUGCGUAGUAGGUAGGCGGAAUUCGUGGUGUAGCGGUGAAAUGCUUAGAUAUCACGAAGAACUCCGAUUGCGAAGGCAGCUUACCGUAACGUUACUGACGCUUAAGCACGAAGGUGCGGGUAUCGAACAGGAUUAGAUACCCUGGUAGUCCGCACAGUAAACGAUGGAUGCCCGCUGUUGGUACCUGGUAUCAGCGGCUAAGCGAAAGCAUUAAGCAUCCCACCUGGGGAGUACGCCGGCAACGGUGAAAC